AUUGGUGUUUAUGGUUAGGUACAUUGGUGUUUAGGGUUAGGUACAUUGGUGUUUAGGGUUAGGUACAUUGGUGUUUAGGGUUAGGUACAUUGGUGUUUAGGGUUAGGUACAUUGGUGUUUAGGGUUAGGUACAUUGGUGUUUAGGGUUAGGUACAUUGGUGUUUAUGGUUAGGUACAUUGGUGUUUAGGGUUAGGUACAUUGGUGUUUAGGGUUAGGUACAUUGGUGUUUAGGGUUAGGUACAUUGGUGUUUAGGGUUAGGUACAUUGGUGUUUAGGGUUAGGUACAUUGGUGUUUAGGGUUAGGUACAUUGGUGUUUAGGGUUGGGUACAUUGGUGUUUAGGGUUAGGUACAUUGGUGUUUAGGGUUAGGUACAUUGGUGUUUAGGGUUAGGUACAUUGGUGUUUAGGGUUAGGUACAUUGGUGUUUAGGGUUAGGUACAUUGGUGUUUAGGGUUAGGUACAUUGGUGUUUAGGGUUGGGUACAUUGGUGUUUAGGGUUAGGUACAUUGGUGUUUAGGGUUAGGUACAUUGGUGUUUAGGGUUAGGUACAUUGGUGU